rnacentral:lncRNA from 1 species
AGAAAAGACAGAAAUUCGGCCAAGGGGCAAUUUGUUUGGUGAAAUGGCCCAGCUGGCAGUAGGAGGGCCAGAGAAAGAUACCAUCUGUGAGCUAUGUGGGGAAUCCCACCCAUACCCAGUGACCUAUCACAUGAGACAAGCUCACCCAGGUUGUGGCCGAUAUGCUGGUGGACAAGGAUACAAUAGCAUUGGGCAUUUUUGUGGAGGAUGGGCUGGUAACUGUGGUGAUGGGGGAAUGGGAGGAAGCACUUGGUACCUCGUAUGUGAUCGCUGUAGAGAAAAAUACCUCCGUGAAAAACAGGCUGCUGCAAGGG